AUGAAGAAGACUCUGCCCCUCAGGUCACUCCGUAGGUCCACCGGCCGGGCAAGUCCAGCUAGGCGAUCUCCUCGGCCAUCGCGCGUCCUGGAGCCCCCGCCGGCCGCCCGGGAUGCGGGGAUGCGCGGGGCGCGGGGGGCGCGGGGGAUGCGCGGGUGCAGGGGAUGCGGGGCGCGCGGGGGAUGCGGGGCGCGGGGCGCCUUCCUGCCCGGCCGCCCUCCCUCCCUCCCGCGGGCUGGGGCCGGGGCCGGGGCGCAGCGGGAGACUCAGCCCGGCCGGCCCGCGGCACCGCCUCCUCCGCCUCCGCCCCCGCCCCCGCCCCCGCCCCGCCCCCGCCCCCGCCCCCGCCGAGCGCUGUCCCGCCGCCCCGGGAGCAGGUCGCGCCUCCGCCCCGCCGCCCACCUGCACUGGAGCCGCGGGCCGGGGAGGGAAGCGCCCGGCGGGUCCCCGAGCCCUGGUCGGCCGGAGGGGCUCGAACCGCGGCGCCAGGGGCCGUGUCCCGGCGCGGAGCGCGAGAGGCCGAGCGGUCAGACCUGGCCCCGCGGCGGGAGGUCGGGGGAGAACAAAGGUCAGCCGCGGGCGGGGGCAGCGGGGCCCGGCGGCCUCUCGGCCCAGCCAGCGCCCACUUCGGCCUCUGGCACUUCCUCCAAGAAGCCGCCCGUGACUAAGGAGAAUCAGGCCGAGGCCGCGGGGCGCGCCCGAAGACCGGCAGCUUUUGUGCCUCUUGCGCCUGAACUUGCACCAGAAGACGAAAAGGGAAGGAAGGAGAAAAAAAAAAAAAGAAAGGAAGAAAAAAGAAAGGGAGGGAGGGAGUGUGUUCCGUGUGCAGAAUGCAGGUUGCAGGCAUUCAAAACUGGCAUCUCAAAAGCGGAAUCGCAAGAGCCCGCGGUCCUUUUAUCUCCGUAUCAACGCGGGAGCUCAGUGAGCUUUCCCCAUCACUCGGGACCCGCCCCUGGGGCUCCCAUUAGGCGCCGCCGUUCCAAUCCGUGUGUUAGACCCGACCCAUGCCCAUGCCUUAGACGAAGGAGAGAGACACCGAGCCUUUGGAGGAAGCGGCAUGUUCCGCGGCAGCUGGCGAGCAUUCUUCCUGUGAGCACCCUAAGGGAUCUGAUCCCUGUUCCACCUAAACUGUGCCUGCCCCUAUGUCACCUCCUCCAGGAAGCCAUGCCUGCUUGA
rnacentral:lncRNA from 12 species